AUCACGUGGUCAUAUUUACCAAUACAGCGAGUAAAUCAAUCCUGCCUUGCUCUCUUUUUUUUCCUCGUCAGGUUUAAUUUAGCUUUUCAUUUCACAAAUGAUAAAAAAGGCCCCAUCAUAUAUGACUGGAGGGAGAGUGCAAUCGCUCAAAUGAAUUCAAAUGAUUAUGUUUUCUAUUUUUUUCAUUUUCGGGUGGUGCAACAAUGCAAGCAGCUUCAUCCUGCGGUUCUGAAACCAGAUCUUGACCUGCCUGUCGGUCAGGUUGACGCCCCUGCUGAUCUCUAGGCGGCGCUCUCGGGUCAGAUACAUGUUGAAGAGAAACUCCUUCUCCAACUCCAAGGUCUGGUGCUUUGUGUAGGGACAUCUUUUCUUUCUUCCACUUUUUGCAGUCAACCAGUUGCUUGUUGGAGGGGCACUCUUGCAAUCUGUAGAGAUUGAAAACUAGUUAGUGGUUUAUUUUGAACAAAGUCUCACCUGCUCAUUUUGAUUUGACCUCUGGGAAAUAACACACAAUAUACAUGUUUUCCCAGAAAAAGAGAAUCAAAUCAAAUUUCUUUCCAAUUGAAAUGGAAAUUAAAUUAUCACUUUUGAUUGUGAUCAAACCACACUGACCUCAUCUUUAUAAAGCUUUAAACAUGUGCAGACCAUCUGUUUAAUUACAUUAAUGCUUCAAAUGCAUUAACACUUUAUAUCAUUGUUACAAUCAUCCAUUUUAAAGAUAAUAUCUAACAGUGUUAUGGUUAUCUUCUAACUAAAGUCACAGACUCAUCUAUCUAGAAUUACACAGAUGCAAAUGCACCAAUUGUAGUUUCCACGAGUAAAGACAUUUUGCAAUAAUGCAAACAUUUAAACUAUUCUUAGAUUCUUUUUUUUACUUUUAAAUCAGUGCAACAUGCAGAACAUAAAGCAAUACAAUGGGAAAACGUUUUUUUUAAGUGCACAUUAUAAUUUCAAUAGGAGGAAAGACUGACACACAGUCUGCAUGCUGCAUGGUAAAACCAUUCUCUGUUGCCCAUUACUGCAACCUGAGAAAGACUCUCAUUAAACAUUACGACUUUAGGGUUGUUUGUGUUUUAUACUUGGUUUUAUGAUGCUGAAGCCUUCACUGCAGCGCCACAAGAUAAAAGCUUUACUGUAGCCAACCCACCUUUCCCUUCUUUUAGCAGCUCAGGGCUGGACACUGGGGCUUCCAUGGAGCAGUUUUUCUCCCCGGAGCUGGACCUUGGAUCCGGGCUGUCUGCGGGGACCGGGGUCCUUGAGGUCUCGGGGUUUUGCGGUACACCCUCACUUUUCUUUUUCUCCUCUGCAAAAUUUGAAGGCGCCGAGGAGGACUGCGGUUUCGGGGUGACCCGGCUGAGCUGCACCAGUGUUGGGUUUGGACUCGGCGGCUCAUGGCAGUAGUUUUCCGGAUGUUUCCCAUUCGCAUAACUUUGGCUCAGUCUGAAAUAGCCCGGCACCGGGAUCUCGGGACCAUCGACAGGACAAGACUGGGAAAUAACGUUGGAAUAUGCAGGGACCUCUGUCGAGCUGACUUUUUGCUCUCUCUUUUCCGAGUACAUGCAGCAGUUACUCUCUUCCUUUAUGCUCUGUGAAAAUGUGCAGUUUGACAUCUGAGUGGACGGCUCUAAUCUGCAGGGUCUGUUCGGAUCAGUCCAGUUAUCUAUUUGAGGUAUGUACGAGUGGACAUUCAUGCCCAUAUUGUGGUGGUUGACUUCCCCUCUUUUGCCGAAAGACGGCAGGAGUCCACAGGUUUGCAUUCCGUAAGUUCCCAUUUCUGAGCCAGACGGCAUGUACAUGUUGCUGCUGGAGUAAAAGCUGUCCGACCUGCAAGCACCUAAUAAAGAGUCCACUAGAAAGGUGUUUGCCGCAGGAGAGCUACUGGGAAAGGACAUUUUGGGGGGUUAAGUUCUUAAGAGGAGAGAGAUGUCCUUUGUAAGAUGACAUAUCUAGGAAAAACAAUCUCCGUGUAAGUCAGGAUGCCUCCCGACCACAUGACAAGCCCACCAAUGAGAUUUGAAAAUGGCCUUGAGACGCAGCCUCCUCUCCCUGCACACACGCUCUGCUGCAGAUCAGACAUGGUCAACAGCGACCCCUACUACACGUACUUGAAAUUGGUUUGCAGACUUAACAGUGGCAGUUCAACCAAAACUGAAACAAUCACAUCUUUUAAAAAUGCAAUUUGCGAUCAGAAAAUAGUCCACUUUCAUGUAAAUGUUUCGUGUGCAAUAUAUAUAUGAAAUGUUUUCAAUGAGAUAAAUACUUGAAAAGGAUAUAUGCUUCUUUGUGGUAGAGCCAGAGGGAAAUGAAUGCAUGUGUACGUGUAAAAUGCUGCCUAUAUGUCGCAUAGAAGAGUUUUUAAAAAAUAAAUAAUAUAACCAUU